rnacentral:rRNA from 1 species
CGCUAUCACUCCUACGGGAGGCAGCAGUGGGGAAUCUUGGACAAUGGGGGCAACCCUGAUCCAGCCAUGCCGCGUGAGUGAUGAAGGCCUUAGGGUCGUAAAGCUCUUUCGCCUGUGAAGAUAAUGACGGUAGCAGGUAAAGAAACCCCCGGCUAACUCCGUGCCAGCAGCCGCGGUAAUACGGAGGGGGUUAGCGUUGUUCGGAAUUACUGGGGCGUAAAGCGCACGUAGGCGGAUCGGAAAGUUGGGGUGAAAUCCCCGGGGCUCAACCCGGAACUGCCUCCAAAACUAUCGGUCUAGAGUUCGAGAGAGGUGAGUGGAAUUCCGAGUGUAGAGGUGAAAUUCGUAGAUAUUCGGAGGAACACCAGUGGCGAAGGCGGCUCACUGGCUCGAUACUGACGCUGAGGUGCGAAAGUGUGGGGAGCAAACAGGAUUAGAUACCCUGGUAG